AUUAGCUCUCAAUAUCUGAAAGCAACUUUACCAUAUAUAUGUCUAUGAUCCUAAUGGGGUAUGGAGUUAAUCAGCACUGUAAUUUCUGAUAAAGCAUGGAAGAGAGUGCCUAAUCCAAAUUGGACUUCUUCUCAACAAAUUAUAACGUAUCAGCCAUAUGCACUCCUCAACAGCGACCUGAAGAGAUAGAUAUUCAUCCAGGCAUGACCUCCAUUAAUCCUUCGCUUGCGGAGGACUCCAGAAUGUAACUUCUCUGUUCGAUGAAAUGCCUGUCUCAGCUUUCCUGGUAAACCUUCGUCUCGCUGUAUGAAUCAGUGGAAAAGCGAACUUCAUUUGUCUCCUUCAUGGAGGUUGUAUGGCAGCUUCUAUGGCCAAACAGACGGAGGAAUACUCCAUAAUGCAUUCUCUCUGCUCUAUGAAAUGCCUGACCCAAUAAUUUCCUACUAAACCCUCUUCAUCUCGUUGUAUAAAUCAGUGAAGCAUUAAGGAAAUCUAUUCAUCCCCUGCAUUGAGUUGCUGUAGCAGCUUCUGUAGCCUAAGAGGUGGAGGAGGAUUCCAGAGGGCAUUCUCUCUGUUCGAUGAAAUGCCCGAGCCCACACUUGCCAGAAACCGAAUUGCUACCCAACCACCUGAAGGUACGCCAACGGUGUUCCUUUCAACAGGGUCAACCAGGUUGAAGGUUGCAGGAUCCUUAUUUGCAUCAAAAUUCCCAAAACCUUGACCAACAACAAAGAAAUUG